rnacentral:ncRNA from 1 species
AAAGGCUUGGUCCUGACUUUUCUAUCAUCUUUAGCUGAGCUUACACAUGCAAGUCUCCGCCCCCCUGUGAGAAUGCCCCACAGUUCCCCACCCGGGAACAAGGAGCCGGUAUCAGGCACAAAACCCAAGAGUUUCUGCCCACGACACCUUGCUUAGCCACACCCCCAAGGGACCCCAGCAGUGACCGAUAUUAAGCUAUGAGUGAAAACUUGACUUAGCCACAGCUAAUAGGGCCGGUAAAACUCGUGCCAGCCACCGCGGUUAUACGAGAGGCCCAAGUUGAUAGACACCGGCGUAAAGAGUGGUUAAGUAACUCAACAAAACUAAAGCCGAACGCCCUCAAGACUGUUACACGUGUUCGGAGGCAUGAAGCCCAACUACGAAAGUGGCUUUACCCACAACUGAACCCACGAAAGCUGAGAAACAAACUGGGAUUAGAUACCCCACUAUGCCCAGCCCUAAACUUUGAUAGUCCUACCGCACUCACUAUCCGCCCGGGUACUACGAGCCCUAGCUUAAAACCCAAAGGACUUGGCGGUGCUUAAGAUCCGCCUAGAGGAGCCUGUUCUAUAACCGAUACCCCUCGUUUAACCUCACCCUCUCUUGUUUUAACCGCCUAUAUACCGCCGCCGUCAGCUCACCCUGUAAAGGCUUAACAGUAAGCAGAAUUGGUAUGACCCACAACGCCAGGUCGAGGUGUAGUGUAUGGGAGGGGAAGAAAUGGGCUACAUUUCCUAACCAGGAAACACACGAACAAUGGUCUGAAAUUACCAUUUAGAAGGAGGAUUUAGCAGUAAAUGAAAAACAGAGUGUUUCAUUGAAAAAGGCUCUAAAGCACGCACAUACCGCCCGUCACUCUCCCCGACACACAACCUUUUGUUCAUAAACCAUCCACACAAACUAAGGGGAGGCAAGUCGUAACAUGGUAAGUGUACCGGAAGGUGCACUUGGU